UGGAUAGGAAUCUGUAUGUGGCCUUCAAAU
rnacentral:piRNA from 1 species